CAAGCAAGCGAAACAAUUUACAGGGUCGUCAACUCGUCAUGGAUGAUCCAGAACGUACGCACGCGCGCUCGUCGUCGACCGAUCCCCGAGAGCUUAAGCUGCCUACAGCCUCAGCUCGAGGUCGGGCUCCACGCCGGCGGCGGUGGCGUCCGGCGCCGCCUUGGGGGCCGCGGCGGAGGCCUGCGUGCCCCUUGUCCAGUUGAGCGUCUCAUCGAUCGGGCCGGCGCCGCCGUGCAGGGUUGCUGGCGGCGCGUGGCCACCGGUCCACCACUCCGGCUCCAAGCUCAGCGCUGCGGCGGCGCCGGCCCUGUAAGACGCCUCCCCUGCAGCCCUGGCGCCAAUUGCGACCGCUCCGCUGCAGUGCGGGCCCUCCAUUCGAACUUUUACAGCAUUUGGUUCGUGAACAUCUAGAACGGAGCCAUCCCAAAAGAGGAAUAUUCGCAGUAGAUGCUGCACCGCGCGGUUCCAAUAUUUCAGUCGAACGCAGCCGCUCGCGGUGCGUCUGGCUCCUUCUUAUCUCUUCGGUCACCUCUUUCCUCGCUCGUUCUCACCGCCCCACCUCUUAGCGCCAUCCCAUCCUCUUCCCGCGCGCUGUCCUCUUGCCGCGCGGGAAAAGGGCGGUCCUCCCGGCGCCGCCGCUGCCGGCGCCGCCGGCGGGUAGUGCCACGGCUGCCUCUCCUCCUUUUUCCCCGACCCCGCCCAACACUGAAGCCGCCGUCCGUCAGUCCUCUUCUCAGAUUUCCCAGAUUCCAUCGAGGACCGGCCCCUCCCCUUCAGCUCCUGUUACCGCACGGCAGGCAGAGCACUGCCGCCCUUGCACCCUCCUAGCUCUUCCCCCAAGGCAAUCAACAGGUUCAGAUCGACAACUGCAGCAUCCCCUCUUCUCCAUUGUCCAAGAGCUACAGCACGAGAGGUAAUUGAUCUGAUCUGAAAAUAUGUAUGCAUCUAGGGUUAGGGUAAAGCUUAUUGGAGAUGCUGCAGGUGAAAAAUUGGGUGUUACUACUAUGUUGAUUGCUUACAAAUUGAUUAUGUAAUUUUUUGCUUUGUUAUUUAGAUGGACAAAAGGAAGAAGCUUUUAACUUAUAUGGCUGCAGCACAUAUGUUGCUUUCAAUUAUGGCUAUGGUUAUUCAUCAUUCAAAAAAAAGAAAAAGACAUGCACCUCGAGAAAGAAUUAGAUAUGGACCAAUAGAUGAAAGGGAUAGGAUCAGACUUGAGUAUCUAGAAAAUAAAAUAUGGAAAAAUGAUGUAACUUGUGUGGACAUGCUUAGACUUAGUAUAUCAUCUUUUUUCCGUUUUUGUAAACUGUUUAGGGAUCGUGGGCUGUUGCAAGACACUAUAUAUAUGUGUGUUGAGCAGCAGGUUGCCAUGUUUUUGAACACAGUGGGACACAACCUUAAAAAUAGGUUAGUUAAGUAUAUAUCAUAUGUCAUGAUCUCUUAAUUAUAUAUGUAACUGUGAUAUAUAUGUAAUUGUGAUGUAUACUAUUAUUCUAUUGUUUA